rnacentral:misc_RNA from 1 species
AUGGAAAACAAACACAAAUAAUUGGAAAAGGUAUAUGAUGUACAUGAAGUUCAUAGGCUUGAUAACCACAGUGAAUCCUCAGGUAAACUAUAAACUUGUAUGCAUGUUGCAUAGCCUCUUGGUCAGUAUAUAACCCAAAAAUGUGGCAAGUUAUAUAAAUCACAUUCCUAAAUCAUAAGCGUCCAAUCCUUCCUGCUUUAACCAUAACAGGAACCCUUAAUUUGGUAUCAUGUGAACAUUUGAAGUCAACUACCCACUCCUUUCAGCGAAAUUUUUUCACUAGCGUUGAUGAGCAAAAG